UACGUAGGGACCGAGCGUUGUCCGGAUUCAUUGGGCGUAAAGAGCUCGUAGGCGGCCACUCAAGUCGAAUGUGAAACCUCGAGGCUCAACCUCGAGCCUGCAUUCGAUACUGGGCGGCUAGAGUCUGGUAGGGGGAUCUGGAAUUCCUGGUGUAGCGGUGGAAUGCGCAGAGUAUCAGGAGGAACACCGGUGGCGAAGGCGGGAUCCUGGGCCAGUACUGACGCUGAGGAGCGAAAGCAUGGGGAGCGAACAGG
rnacentral:rRNA from 1 species